rnacentral:rRNA from 1 species
CCUACGGGUGGCAGCAGUGGGGAAUAUUGGACAAUGGGCGAAAGCCUGAUCCAGCCAUGCCGCGUGUGUGAAGAAGGCCUUCGGGUUGUAAAGCACUUUCAGUGGGGAAGAAAGCCUUGGGGCUAAUACCCUCGAGGAAGGACAUCACCCACAGAAGAAGCACCGGCUAACUCCGUGCCAGCAGCCGCGGUAAUACGGAGGGUGCGAGCGUUAAUCGGAAUUACUGGGCGUAAAGCGCGCGUAGGCGGUCUGAUAAGCCGGUUGUGAAAGCCCCGGGCUCAACCUGGGAACGGCAUCCGGAACUGUCAGGCUAGAGUGCAGGAGAGGAAGGUAGAAGUCCCGGUGUAGCGGUGAAAUGCGUAGAGAUCGGGAGGAAUACCAGUGGCGAAGGCGGCCUUCUGGACUGACACUGACGCUGAGGUGCGAAAGCGUGGGUAGCAAACAGGAUUAGAUACCCCAGUAGUC